rnacentral:lncRNA from 1 species
GUCCGGCCUUAGGGUAAGGCCGGACGAUGUCCGGGCUGAACUUAACAGCCUCUCCCUCAGGCCGGACAGCUUCGUCAGGCCCGGCAGCUCGAUCAGUGUUCCUACCUGAAGUGGCACCUGGAGAAGCGCUGACCUCGUCACCCGAAGCCUGGGGAGGAGGACGGUCUGUGGAAUAGGCUCCGGCGAAGUCCUUUUCCUCAAACGCAGAGGGGUUAAAAGGCCAGAUCCCUGGACUUGAGAACCCGGAGGUGGGACGGGUGAUUGUCCAGCAGGAGGAGCAGCUUCGACUCCUUGGACACACGGGUGUGCCUGGUCAAGUGGGCCAGGUACAGGAGGAAGUCUGGCUCCUUCAUCCAGCCAGUUGGGUUGCCGCUGCCAGCACAGCCAACGGGUCCAGGAAGUGGUCUUUGAACCGCUUACGGGGGAAGAUGAAGAAUGGCGGAACAAGGUCGCCCUGCGCAUUGCCUGCCAGGGCAACUGUGACCAGGGUCCCCCUCUCUGCUGAGGUCACUGACCCGACCUGCUUCUGCCCCAUCUGGGUGACGACACGGUCUGGCACCUGGACAGUGGUGACCCCUGUAAAUAGUUGUCUGGACAACCGUUGUUGGCUAGUGGCCUCUGGACGCCGAAGGGAGAGGCUGCCACUGCGCUCCAUGAAGGAGGUGAACCAGUCCUUCCCCGCCAUGCUCUUCCUCGACCAGGAUGCAGGGAAAGGGCAGCUGAAGUGCACUGCCAGCUCAAAGGCAAAUUUUCUGACCUGA